AAUCUAGGCGACAGCGGAUAAUGGAAGGCGCAUGCGUUCCAGGGGAGGCGCUGCAAGGCGUCGGGAAUCACGGAGGGGCGGGGCGGAAACGUGCCAGUGAGCUGACGCACGCGCAUUGGGCCGCCAGCGCCCCGCCUCCUUCUUCAGGUUUCCUCUCCUCCUCCGCCACUCUUCCGGAAGUGCAGCCGCCCUCGCGCCCACCAGCGGCCACCCCCUGCGGCAGGCCCCGCCCCUCCCGGCUCCGCCCCCCAGCUCUCCGCCCCCUCCUCCGCCGGGAGCGCGGAGUCGUUCCCGGACCGGCGGCCAGGCUAUGA